GAAAAAGAUGGAAAUAAGAAACAAAAACGAAAACUGAAAAGAGAAGACUUAACUAUUAUUCUCAAAGAACUGCAAAUCCAGGAAAGAAAUCUGUAACACAGACCAUUUGUGGACAACAAGGUGGGUCCUGGAGGAGGAGUCACGACUGAAAGAUGGAUCCUGACUUGGCCCUUUGCAGCCCCUGCUUCCACCUGCCACUGCACUUGCUGUGUUCCAGUUACUCCAGUCGCCCUGGGCUCCCCCAGUUCUGCCAAGCCUGAGACAGCAAGAUC